GGAAGAUCCGCUGGAGGAGGAAAUGGCAAUCUACUCCAGUAUUCUUGCCUGGAAAAUCCCCUGGACAGAGGAGCCUGGAGGGCUGCAGUCCAUGGGGUCACAAAGAGUUGGACACGACUUGAGUGACUACGCAGACGACCCAGGCGGAUUCUUUACCGACUGAGCCACCUGGGAAGGCGGGGAAGCCCCACACCAUUGCCAAAGAGGAAGCAGACUGCCCUCCAGAUGAAAACUGCUGACCACAAGAAGACCCUCAACUGGUCAAAACCAGAAGGUUGAUGAUGCUUGAAAGUUCACCUGGAUGCCAACCAAUCCUAGAAUUAUCCAGGAGCUGAUCACGCCCUGCUUCUCAAGCUCUGCUACACUCUUAAAACUCCUCACUACCCUCUCCAGGGUGAGUCACAUAGUCUUCAGGGCAUUAACCCCUCUCCCUGGAAAAGCAAUAAAAGCUACUCUUUUCUACUUCACCCAACUGUGUCCACGCUUCCAUUCAGCACCAGUGAAUAGAGGCCGAGUUUUGACAACAGAGAGACAGAGAUGGUUAGAAGGAAAAGAAUAAUUAUUUCCUCAUAAUUCACAUCAGGGAAGAAACUUACAUUAUCUCAAGAACAGACACAUGAAAUUUUUUAAUUACCCAAAC
ensembl:lncRNA